AAGGCCCGCGGGAAGAAGCCGCGCGAGGCCGGGCGCGCGGUAGGGGCUAGCGAUGCGCACGCGCAGGGGCUUUCCCGCGCUUGCGCGGGGUGGGCCGAUGUCGCGCUACGCCCCGGAACGGCUGGAACGGCGCAGACUACCGUUAGCCACGGCCGCGGCGUCGUCCCGGCCUCGCGUCGUAGGCGGAGGGCCUGGCAGGCCGCGUUCUCCGCUGGACCAGGACUCUGGGGAGUUCCUCCCCGCGGGGCUGCGGUGAGAAGACUACGAGGUGAGGUGCGUCCGGAGAGGCUCCCGGGCCGCGACGCCGGGAAGUAGAACCGGGAGGCGACGGGCGUGGAGGGGAUGGAACUGGGCUAUUGAGGUUCCCAAGAUCCUCCCGCUCAGUUUCUUUCAGUCGACCCAACGCUUUGGUAAGGAAGACUUUGGGGCGGGGGACCUCUCCACCCCUGUCGGCCUCACCCUGCGCCCCCCUUGGGACUCGCUGGGCUUCGGUGCAGUCAUUCGAGCGGCGUGGAAUGAGCGCCCACGACCUGCGGGUGCCCGGCCUUCUAGACUGCGCGCCCAGAGCGCACGGCGCGCCUUCCUCAGAGAUGCAGUCACGUUGCUUCUCAAAUGACGAAGCGAACGUGUGCUCGUGGUGGGGAAAGAGAACGAUGGCAAGCCGCAGUAAAUGUUAGCGUAGACUGGACAUCCCCGUAAUCCGACCUUCCUGAGAUUGCCAUUGUUAACACUUGGUUGGCUAUACCUCCCUACUUUUUCUACGCAAAUAAAUGUCCAUAUAUUUCAGAUACAUUUUUUCUUCUUCUUUUGGCUCCAAACUUACUCAUUUGACGCUUAUGGAUUGCCUCCUGUAUGCAAGAUAAUGCCUUAGGCCAGGAAUUGACACACUUAUUCUAUAAAGGGCCAGGUAGCAAAUAUUUAGGCCAUGUGGGCCAAGAGGCAAAAUUGAGUAUAUCAUGUAGGUACUUACAUAGCGGAAGAGAAAAAUACCCUUAAUAUUUUUUAUUGGUGGCAUUCAAAAUCUAAUAAGUAGUUUUUAAAAUACAGGUCUUCUAAGGAGAAGAACGGAAUGCUUUUUUGCCGUUCUAAGUUGGUCUUUCCUGUCAUUAAUUGAUUGCAAAUGUUCACUAGUAAAGACUUCUCGGUUCACAGAAAAGCAGGCGGGGUGUGGUUUGUGAUGGAGUUGGGCCUGAGCUCUGCUCUCCUGAGCCUGUAGUCUUGGGUGGGGGGUGGAGACCUGUAAAUCAGUAAACAAAUACGUCAUUACAACGGUGUUAAGGAAAACAGGUUUUUGAUAAGGGAGGAGGGUGGGGUCUGCCCCUGGGAAGUGAGGUUUGCAUUGAGAUCCUAAUCAGGAGCAAGCUACGUGAUACCCCAGGCAAAGGGAACAUGUGGGAUUGAUCUGUUUAGUAUAAAGCUCAGUAAUGUGGAUAGUGUGGGUAUUUUUCCAUGCCAGUAAAGAUCUAUAUCGGGGUUUUAAUUUGUGAUCUGCCUUGGGUGGAAUUCAGAGAUAGCACACUGUUGUACCUGUAUGUAUUUUCGUGAGUUAAAGAUACAUGGCAUUUUUCAGAUUCUUAAUAGGAUCUGUGAGCCAAAACGGGUUAAUGAAUCUGUGUGGUCAUUUUUAAUGACUGCAUAGGACAGUGUGGUGUGGAUGUACAGUAAUUCAUCGAAGCCAGACUCUGGAGUUUCUGGGGUUGGUUCCAUUUUUAGGCCGCUACUAAAAGAGUUUUAGUGUAGGAUGUGCACAUUGAAUACUGAUAAUACUCAACUGUCCCUUCAAAAGAUUGGAGACUCGUGACCACUUUAUAUAUUCAUGUCUUAAUGUUUAAAACACCAUUUAUCUGAGACAAAACACCAUUUAUCUGAGACUGAACAUUUAAGCAUCAUGUGGCCUCACCCAGACUCAUUUCAGUGGGCCAAAUUAGAAUCCACUGGUCCGAAGAAAGCAGUAGAGUUGCCAAAAGUAGAGGCUGCUGCACAGAUGGUCUCCAAGAACCCGGAAACACAACUCUUAAGGAAACAAGUAAAAUAUACUCUCCUGGAUGGGAUGAACUUGCUGAAGUUCAAGAGGCAAAACGGAAAGAAGUUAAAGCCAUAUGCAUUCCCGCUUUGAUCUGCAAACAUGCUGUGAGAAAUUUAUCCCAAAUCAGAAGUAUGGGCUGCACUGUGUAUGGCAAAGUUAUCCCAUAAAAUGAUGUUUAAAUGUGCAGCAAUAGGGGUUGGUUAAUUACAGUGUAUCCCUUUAGUAGAUUACUACAAUAUCAUGUACACAGACACACAAAGUCAAGAGAGAGUAUUUAAUAAGGGGAAAUGUUUUUGGCACAUUUUUUAAAGCAGAUUAUAAAAUAAUAUGCAUAUGCCAGUUGUGAAAAAAAUGUGUAUAUAUCUUCAGGGGCAACUGCUGUGUCCAGUCUUUCGUGUGUCUUUUCAGAAAUAAACUGUAUUCACAAGCACAUUUAUAUAGCAAUAUAUUUUGGAAAUUGUUCUCUCUAUACAUAGAGCUAAUUCUUUUUGAUGUCUGUAUAGAUAUGUCUUUUAGCUUUAACAAUUACUUUCAAAUUUGACAAAUAGACAAUAGACGUUGUUAUUAGAAAAAGUCGUGGGUGACAAGGAACUCCAGGCCCAUCCAGACCUGUGGUCUCAAUAAAGACAAAGCUUGGUGUGACUGUCACCUUGUUCCUACAGUAACAGAACCCCCUGUGGUCAACCAGCUGAAGGCACGGCGGAAGGAAUGAUGUGGGAACAGAGAAGGUCCUGUUCCAUCCUGGAGCAGCACCAUUUCUCGGGCCUGAUCACGUCGCCGAGCAAGCCUCUGGUCACACAGGAGUUGCCCUGGGGAGACAAACAGGAGUAUUCUCGUCCUUGGAGAGGACACUCCCAGGACUUUCCUAGCUUGUCACCGCAAAGACUCAGAAGCAAGGCCGACCCCACAGCAGUGAGCACACACGGCGCUCAGGCUGUGUCUCCGGACAGCACUCUCUAUUACAAGCAACCCGAGUUUCUGAAAGAGUGGAUGACUACAGGUCUGGAACAGGAGAGGCGCAAGAUAAGAAAGAACAUCCUGCUGGACCAAAAGCUACCGAAGGCUGACCUGUGCUGUCGAAAAGACAGGGAGCCAAUGGGAAGGACGCCAUUGACCUGGACAGGAUAAUUUGAAUAUGAAAAGAGUAAGAUAUGCAACUGACACAGGAGUCCACAAUGAUAUUGGAAAAAAAAAAAAUAGAAGGACCCUCCUUCACCCUUCCCCCUCCACAAACCAAACCCCCCCCCCCGACAACUCACUAGUUAACAUUUGCAGUAAGCUAGAACUUCUCUCUGAAAAUUGGUAAUUGAAAAAAAAAGAGAAGCACUGAACUUUCAUAUACUUCAAGGUAACAAAUGAGUCCUGAUCGAUGCUGGAAAGUUCUUUGCAGAAAACUUACAGUUGAUCAAUACAGAAAGGAAGCAAGAACAGAGCCAGUCUCCCCAACUGGAGCCUGGAGAUAAUGUGCACUAUGCCUACAGGUGGUGCUGAGGAUCGAAGACCGAGGUCAAGAACUCCAUCAGGCCUCACUGAGCCCUGAUAUACAUUUACUCCCCUCUCUGUAACUCAGGCUUGGAAAAACCACACGCACCUUCUCCUUAUCACUGUCACACUGCGUGUGAGUUUCUAGUGCGUUGUCUGGAGGCUGGCCCUGCAGGUGGUGGGAAGAUUCUCUUUCCUGUGCUCGGAGAGCCAAGGAUCCCUCCACAGUAACGGGAGUAUGGGCGGAGAGGACACCGAGAAAGGGAUCCAGCAACGCAAGCGCAGUGUGGACAAGUCGAAGUGAGACCUGAACCAGACUAUCAGGACAGGAGUCGCCCACGCUGGCAUUUCUCAGCAGCUGUCGACACCUGAGACCUAGCCUGCUGGAGGAGGAAAUGCAAAGGAAGCCGACUUCCUUGACUGCAUGAGAAAUGAGUCAUGACAAAGCUGAGUGUUAAAGGGCUGGCUGCGAGGGGCCCCAGAUGUCCCAAAGUCAACACAGGUGUAACUCCCCGACAAAGCAACCAAUCUGGAACUAAUCAAGACAAGGGUGUGUUCACCGCGCUGGCCAACUCACCAGGUCGCUGCUGACUAGGAAAGCUGAAAGGUCCACCAGGACCCACGUGGGGAUCAUAAAAAAGACAGCGUGGCAGCCCAAGAUGUUCAGGAGCCGGAGAUGGUGGAUCCGUGAAUCUCUCAAUACCUAAAGAAAGAAAAACCUUCUUAACGGCCAGUUGAAACUCUUAAGUGGCAAGAAGGGCUCCAGUUAUCCAGGUCCCAAACACAGUGACUGUACAUGAGCCCUGACAUCCGAUCUUGACCACCAAACCUACAAGUGCACCUGCAAUGAGACAAAAAUGCCCCAGACAAAUAAUGAAGGACUGAGAAAUGAAAAAACCCAGCAACACUCAGUCCUGGUGAAGCUGCAGUGAAACAGGCACUCUGAAAUCCCGCUGGUUUACGUCUACAUUGGCAUACAGCUGUUCGAGAAUACAACCAGGCCAAGUGUAUCAGGAGCCACAUUUCCCAGAUGGUGCCCAAAUACCUUUUUGGAGAAAAUAUUCUGAAGCGAGAAGCACAGUGUGGCAGCGAGGGCACUGAUGAGCCCCCACAUGUCGAAGGACAGCUCGGUGACGGUGGCCAGCAGGACGCCGCUGAUGAUGGGGAUGAGUGACAGCUCACCCUCCUCCUACAAAGGACACUUGAAAGCACUGCAGAAAUUUUAGGAGGGGUUGGCGAGGCUUCUCAUCCAACCCUGGAGGAAAAAGCAAGGGCUCUGGACUGGAGAGGGGGGGCUCAAUUCUAGCUCCCCCACCACUGGCUGUGGGCCUCAGGCACUUGACUUACCCCUUAUGUCCCAUUUCUUCGGCUGAGAUCAAGAAUGACAAUUACCUACCUGCCUUAUCUGUCUCAUAGGGUGGGUCCAUACAUAUUCUGCCUUUAUCAUUAGUCUUUGCCUAGGCCAUUCCUCAGUCCCUCCUCACUAAGGUGCCAGCUCCUUGCCCAAGCGGGGUACAAUGUCCUAUACAACGGGGAAACCUGAUAAACAUGAUGUGAUAUCGAGUGAUGAAGCUGCACACCUCCGGGGCAACUCCGACCCAGGGAGACAAGUCGCACCUGACAUCGCCCUGAGGGUGGGCUACAGAGCACACCCAGGUCUUGCAGAGAAAAAGACAGACUGAAACAAAAAAUCAGCCAGAGGUGGCCCAAUUUCCAUAAGCCGAUCCAGGGCAACGCCACUCUGGGUUACAUAAAAUACAGGAUGCCAGAAACUAAGCACGUAAAAAAGAAGUGCUCUGUCCAGCAUGAAAUGGAUUCCAGCUGGGACAACAGCAGUCCCACUUCCACUUAAGGACACGGAGCAAGGCUGUCUCUGGCUGAAGCCACAGCUUCUCUCGCCCCAAGCCAGGAAAUACCCUGGCUUGGCAUCUUGAACAGACUCUGGAUUGUGCCCAAAGCAUCUUCCUUAUGCAGUCCUAGGCUCUGAGCGUUGCUUUUACUUCCAUUCCCAGACACAAUUCCUGGUGGUUUUUAUUUCGAAGACUUUGCUGGAUUUUGCCAAAAUCAGACUGUUUUGACUGGCAAUCUCACUUCUGACCCCAAAAGUCCCCAACCUGACCGCUGUCACUUGCAAAGAAGUGAAACUUUGUCAGAGUUCCAGCAAGGCGUCAGAUGUUCUAUCCCUAGUCCCCCUGGAGGGGCACGUGGUGCCUGGUCAUGAUGGGACCAAGUCAUUGCCUAUCAGCAACCACACUCAGGGAAUCAAAACAUGAAGGCAAGUUGGACCUGAGAGGGACAGGAGCGUACCUGAGACCACAGACCAGAAGCAACUCAGGGACACACACCAGUGCCUCCAAAGCGAUUACAGAACAUUAGCAAUAAAAGGCCACCAGAAGCCUCUAAGCUGACUUCCUGAUUUGAGAGGAAGCCAGGAGCCUGGACCACGUCACCAGCUGGGCACCAGCCAGGAAGCCCUUGGGGCCCCCACCUGCCCAGAACCCUCCUGGGUUACCUUGGUGCUCUGCUUCUCCUUCAUGAUGAUCCGGGACAGGAGAACCACCCAGAUGGGCAUGGUGGCCUUGACUGUAAAGAGAGGCAAGGGGCUCUCAGGGAGCCGCCCCAGUCCCCGAACCCACCCUGGGACCCUGUCCCAACUCCACUAGUGCGAUGGGAGGGCUUGGCAGCCCUUCCAUCCUCCUCAGCCCUUCUGCGGGGCUUCCCCCCAACCCAACAGUUGUGAUUCGCCCUGCUCAGCUCCCAGCCCUCUUUUUCAGCCACUUCCCUCCCCAAAACCCUUGUGCGAGUCCCCGCCCCCCCCCCCCCGCCCGCUAAAAGCCUUGUUGGCCCCCAGCGCCUUCCUGACAGAAGUUGACUUCUCAGGCCGUCGGGCCGCAACCCGGCCAGCGUACUCCUAUCCAAGCGCCGAAACCCCGGGUGGCGCGUCCGGGCCGCCGCCCCCCAGGCCGGCCGCGACACCCACCGGUGUGCGCGUAGGACACUGGCACCUUCCAGAUGCUGACGUGCGCUGACACGGACGCGAAGUACUUGCCGAACGCGAGUGGCAGCACGUAGCGCGGGUAGAAGCGCGGCGGCAGCAGCGGGCCGGGAGACGGAUGCGGCCCGAGCCCAGGGCCCGAGACUGGGGGCGCGGGGGGCACGCGCCAGGCGCGCAGCAGCGGCGGGAGCCCCGCGCACAGCGCCAGGAUGUGGCACAGAGACACGGUCACGGGGAACGGGAAGGCGCUCAGGAUCACCUUGUUGACCACGUUACCACCCGCGCUCAGCGCGUACCACAGCAGGCACAGCGCUGCCACCCGCGCGCCCUCGCGCGCCCCGCCGCCGCCGCCCGCCGCUCCCGGGCCCCCCGCGCCCGCACCCACCGCCGCCGCCGCCGCCAUCCUGCCCGAGCGGCCACCUCUUCCCGCCCGUCCGACGGCCCGACGCCGGGCGGGGGCGGGGCCGAGUAGGGGCGGGCACGCCGGCCAACGCCGCUCCCCAUUGGUCGCUGCUGCCUCGCGUCACCGCCUCGCGCCGGCGGACGCGCCCGCCACCACGUAGCGGGCGCAGGCCCCGCCCCUCUGGUGGAUUUCCGGCCGGGGCGGUGCCUAUCGCGGAAGCGGAAGGUGGAGAAGCGGAGACUUGCCUAGCGGGGUUUCCCCGGCGGAGGGUUGGCCUGCAGGACCCUGGAGCCGCGGCUCGAGCUGAGUGGCCAGAAGUGCAAAGGCCCUGUCUCGUCGGCGUCUGUGAGCGGGCCAUCGAGCUCGGGAGUCAGACCUCGAUUCCCACGCUACAUCGGCGUCCUCCAACCAUACUCCCGAUGGGCGGGCGACGGCGGACACCAAGGAUAAAAGACCAGACCUUUUCGGAAAAGAAACCAAAUUGUGAAAAGCUUUCCAUAGGCUAAGUUUUUUCUGCAAAAACACGGGAGGGACUUCCAUGGCCGGACUCCAACAGAAGGGCUAGCCCGGAGCGCCCGGUCUCUGGGGGCUUGUUCUGGGAACCACUGCGACGUGUACUGUGCGGUAGGUGUAUGACCAUCUCCAUUUCACAGACGGACAGACCGAAGCCCAGAGAAGGGAGGCGACUUGGCUCGGGUCCCCUGGCCAAUUCGGGAGCCGUGGCCAUGGUAGCCUACUCCCGCACCUGUCUCCAGGGCUCUUGCAGGCGGGAGAGGUUGCCGGGCCCUGACUGCUGAUGCCCAAGGCCAGGAUAGAGCAGCCCCAGACCCCAGCGGAGGAAGACAAGAUGGUGUUUUCAGCGAGAUGGUUUUAUACUAAAGGACUUUGAUUUGUUCCAAAAAUCAUGUACGGACAACUUUUGGGGGGAAGGGGUGGGGGUUAAGAUGCCCUUUUACAAUGUCUUUACUUGGCAAAUUAGAAAGUGGCAACCCACUGAUUUCAAAAAUGUGGGAGGGAAAUCUUAAGUUUGUGUUCUCAAAAGCAGGCAGUAUCUUUAUGCUGGGGCUUACUGGAUACUUAGACGCAGAAGUGGUCCUUCAGGUGGGGGCAGGGAGCAGGGACCUGUCCUAAAGUCCGGGUCUGAGAAAAGGAGAUGCUCAUAAGAUGCCAACCUGUAUCCUAGUAUAUUCCAGCUGUGCUUACGACCCUUUGUCACAGAGUAAGUCACUUCCUGGGGACACCCACACAGCAGCAGGGCUGGCCCACAUUACAGGCACAGUGGAUUUAGGAAAGUAAUUAGUUAUUCCAUAGCACAAAGGGUUCUACUGACAUGCUCCCCCCCCUUUUUUUUUUGGCUUAAACUCUGUUUAACUUAUCCUCACAGCUCUGGAAUAAGCACUUUCAUCUCCCAGAUAGAGACAUGUGUAUGAGUGAAGUGAUUAUCUUAGAGCCAUACAGCUCAUAGAUGGCAGGUCCAGAGUCCAACCUCAGCCUGUCCUCAAAGCCACUUCAUCCACUGCCCUUAUCUUAGGGUGGGUGUGUCUUGCACUAACACCAUGUCAGAAAUCCCUGCUGCUUCUGAAAUUGUGGUUCUGGGCUGACUCAAUGGUUCUGGACCCCCUGGUUCGCCCUAUGGGACGUUUAACCAACUGAGCCACCCAGGUAUCCUAGGACUGUCCCUCUUAAGGGGUAGCUGCUUCCUCAUCUGUGAAAUGAAGUAGGUACAUCCAACAUGACCUAUUCUGGACUGAAAAAUUUUGAAAACCAUAGUCUUAGCUGACGGUUUCAGGGGUGAGGGAGAAGGAAGUAUUAUCACUUUUAUAGUCAAGGCAGAAAGUUAUUUUUUAAAAACAGCACCUAUCAGAUACUGAGACAGCCCCAGGCCUGCAUGGGGAGCUAGCAGCCUGGGGCCAGAGCCAAGGGAUGCAGUGCCAGGCGUGGCUCUGGGCCAUGCCCUGUAGAAGCUAGAUACUUUGUGGGGUAAAACCAGGUUACCAAGACUUGGGACAUGGAACCCCUUUGGAGGGCUUCUUUCUCUGGGGCAGAUGGGGUAACGUUCCUUCAUGUGGACCUUCAGUCUCUGUCACCCAAAGCUAGUAGGUGACCCCGGCGGCGGAAGAGGCAACAUGGCCCUGAAUGAGUGAAAGGCAGGUGGAGGUCAGUUUUCAUGCAGAACACUAAUAGGCUGGCUUGGCCACUUUGCCCUGCCCACCUCCCUGCAGUCCAGCAAUGGAGCCCAAACCUCAGACACGAAAGGCUGAUUAUGACUGUAAGGGACCAAAUUAGUAACGAUUCUGAGACUGGUUUGUGCAAAUGGUUUUUUUUUUUUUUAUUUCCACAUUUAUAUCACAAGGUGUCCACUUACUGGACCAAAUAGCAAAGUUGCUCCCUUCUGCGUCUUGAGAACACAGAAGUCUAGGUACUGUACAUUCACUAAGGCUCCUUGUUUUUGCAGAUCGCGUUUAUGACAAAUAACCAUAAGGCAAACGAAUCUAAAGGAAUGGUUAUGAGUGUUUCCAGCGUACAGACAGGUCUCCUCUUGCCCAACAAUACAGCUUACACACCA